AAAAAAUUAAGAUUGCACAUAGAUAUUGAAGCAUGAUAUAACAUAAGAUCAAGAAGGCAGGAAAAGAGGCAAGAACAGGCCCCGCCAUCAAUCGGAUAUGUGCUUCACUAACUUGACUAAGAGCAAGGCAUUGAUACUCAAUACCUACCUGCUUAUUGUUGGAAGGGAAGGGGGUUAUUUACGCAGAAGUUCUGGCAAAAACAUAGUUGUGUCCACAUAAUUUCUCAAAUGUAAUAGAUGAUGUCGAAGUUAUGUACCUGGAUUGAGAAUCUUAAUAGGAAGCAAUGUAUUGCAGUGGGAAGCAAUUUAACCUCAAUGCUUAUUUACACCUCAUUUUUUGUCAUGAUCCUACUGGAGUGAAGAGUUGAAAUCCCCACUUUCUUAGAUGGCCAAAAGCACCAUCCA
rnacentral:lncRNA from 1 species